rnacentral:RNase_P_RNA from 1 species
AGCGGGCUGGGCGAUCGCGGCGCCCCCAUGGGGCGAUGAGGAAAGUCCGGGCUCCGCAGGGCAGGAUGCCGGCUAACGGCCGGGCGGGGCGACCCGACGGAAAGUGCCACAGAAAAGAAGACUCCCGCGCCACGCGCGAGAAAAGCUGAAACGGUGCGGUAAGAGCGCACCAGCGCCGCAGCAAUGCGUCGGCUUGGCAAACCCCAUCCGGAGCAAGGGCAAAUAGGGACGCUAUGGGCUGGCCCGGCUCGCGUCCGGGUUGCCUGCUAGAGGGUGCCGGCAACGGCUCCCGUAGAUAAAUGACCGCCUUCAACGACAGAACCCGGCUUACAGGCCCGCUU